AGUGGAAUAACUGGGUCAAAUGGUGGUUCCAUUCCAGGUUUUCUAAGGAAUCUCCAUACUGCUUUCCAGAGUGGAUGCACUAAUUUGCCGUCCCACCAGCAAU
rnacentral:pre_miRNA from 1 species